rnacentral:rRNA from 1 species
UACAGAGGUGGCAAGCGUUGUUCGGAAUUACUGGGCGUAAAGGGCGCGUAGGCGGUCUUGCAAGUCCCGUGUGAAAUCCCUCGGCUCAACUGAGGAACUGCACGGGAAACUGCUUGGCUUGAGUUCGGGAGAGGGAAGCGGAAUUCCGGGUGUAGCGGUGAAAUGCGUAGAUAUCCGGAGGAACACCGGUGGCGAAGGCGGCUUCCUGGACCGACACUGACGCUGAGGCGCGAAAGCCAGGGGAGCAAACGGG